CCUAGCCUUGGAGUGGGGAAUAACAGCUGGAAACAGCUGCUAAUACCGCAUGAUGCAGUUGAGUCGCAUGGCUCUGACUGCCAAAGAUUUAUCGCUCUGAGAUGGACUCGCGUCUGAUUAGCUAGUUGGUGAGGUAACGGCUCACCAAGGCGACGAUCAGUAGCCGGACUGAGAGGUUGGCCGGCCACAUUGGGACUGAGACACGGCCCAGACUCCUACGGGAGGCAGCAG
rnacentral:rRNA from 1 species